UACAGAGGGUGCAAGCGUUGUUCGGAAUUAUUGGGCGUAAAGGGAGUGUAGGCGGUUGAGAAAGUCUUCUGUGAAAUCUACGGGCUCAGCCUGUAACGUGCAGAGGAAACUACUCGGCUUGAGUGUCGGAGAGGAUAGGGGAAUACCCGGUGUAGAGGUGAAAUUCGUAGAGAUCGGGUGGAACACCAGUGGCGAAGGCGCCUGUCUGGCUGACAACUGACGCUGAGACUCGAAAGCAUGGGGAGCAAACAGG
rnacentral:rRNA from 1 species